rnacentral:rRNA from 1 species
GACGAACGCUGGCGGCGUGCUUAACACAUGCAAGUCGAACGGAAAGGCCCUGCUUUUGUGGGGUGCUCGAGUGGCGAACGGGUGAGUAACAAGUGAGUAACCUGCCCUUGACUUUGGGAUAACUUCAGGAAGCUGGGGCUAAUACCGGAUAGGAGCUCCUGCUGCAUGGUGGGGGUUGGAAAGUUUCGGCGGGUGGGGAUGGACUCGCGGCUUAUCAGCUUGCUGGUGGGGUAGUGGCUUACCAAGGCUUUGACGGGUAGCCGGCCUGAGAGGGUGACCGGCCACAUUGGGACUGAGAUACGGCCCAGACUCCUACGGGAGGCAGCAGUGGGGAAUAUUGCACAAUGGGCGGAAGCCUGAUGCAGCAACGCCGCGUGCGGGAUGACGGCCUUCGGGUUGUAAACCGCUUUCGCCUGUGACGAAGCGUGAGUGACGGUAAUGGGUAAAGAAGCACCGGCUAACUACGUG